ACCCUACAAAGUUGAACAUAGGCUGAGUCUCUAUGCCUUAAAUGGAGCACUGGAUUAGAUACCCAGGAAAUCGGCGCUAUCAUUUAUAAGAAGUUAAUUAU
rnacentral:rRNA from 1 species